rnacentral:rRNA from 1 species
GUCCUUUUGUUUAUUAAUUUAAGGUUUAACCUGCCCAAUGAGGAAUUCAAUGGCCGCAGUAUUUUAACUGUGCUAAGGUAGCAUAAUCAUUUGUCUUUUAAUUGAGGGCUGGAAUGAAGGGUUGGACGAGGCAUUAGCUUUCUUUGAUUUAAUUUAGGAAUUUAAUUUUUGAGUUAAAAAGCUUAAAUUUAUUUAUGGGACGAGAAGACCCUAUAGAUCUUUAUGGUUUUAUGUUUUAAUAAUUUAGGGAUUUAUAUAUUUUAAGCAGAUGAAUUAUUUUGUUGGGGUGACUGUAGAAUUUAAAUAACUUCUAUUUUUUAUUUUCAUUAAUUAAUGUUUUUUUGAUCCAUAAUUUAUGAUUAGAAGAAUAAGUUACCUUAGGGAUAACAGCGUAAUUUCCUCGGAGAGUUCAUAUUGAUGAGGGAGUUUGCGACCUCGAUGUUGGAUUAAAAUAAGUUGUGGAUGCAGGAGUCUAUUUACUAGGUCUGUUCGACCUUUGAAUUUUU